CGGGCGACGGUUGUCCCGGUUUAAGCGUGUAGGUGUGUGUUCCAGGUAAAUCCGGUUCACUUUAACACUGAGGCGUGACGACGAGGCACUACGGUGCUGAAGCAACAAAUGCCCUGCUUCCAGGAAAAGCCUCUAAGCAUCAGGUAACAUCAAAUCGUACCCCAAACCGACACAGGUGGUCAGGUAGAGAAUACCAAGGCGCUUGAGAGAACUCGGGUGAAGGAACUAGGCAAAAUGGUGCCGUAACUUCGGGAGAAGGCACGCUGACACGUAGGUGAAGUGAUUUACUCACGGAGCUGAAGUCAGUCGAAGAUACCAGCUGGCUGCAACUGUUUAUUAAAAACACAGCACUGUGCAAACACGAAAGUGGACGUAUACGGUGUGACGCCUGCCCGGUGCCGGAAGGUUAAUUGAUGGGGUCAGCGCAAGCGAAGCUCCUGAUCGAAGCCCCGGUAAACGGCGGCCGUAACUAUAACGGUCCUAAGGUAGCGAAAUUCCUUGUCGGGUAAGUUCCGACCUGCACGAAUGGCGUAAUGAUGGCCAGGCUGUCUCCACCCGAGACUCAGUGAAAUUGAACUCGCUGUGAAGAUGCAGUGUACCCGCGGCAAGACGGAAAGACCCCGUGAACCUUUACUAUAGCUUGACACUGAACAUUGAGCCUUGAUGUGUAGGAUAGGUGGGAGGCUUUGAAGCGUGGACGCCAGUCUGCGUGGAGCCGACCUUGAAAUACCACCCUUUAAUGUUUGAUGUUCUAACGUGGACCCGUGAUCCGGGUUGCGGACAGUGUCUGGUGGGUAGUUUGACUGGGGCGGUCUCCUCCUAAAGAGUAACGGAGGAGCACGAAGGUUGGCUAAUCCUGGUCGGACAUCAGGAGGUUAGUGCAAUGGCAUAAGCCAGCUUGACUGCGAGCGUGACGGCGCGAGCAGGUGCGAAAGCAGGUCAUAGUGAUCCGGUGGUUCUGAAUGGAAGGGCCAUCGCUCAACGGAUAAAAGGUACUCCGGGGAUAACAGGCUGAUACCGCCCAAGAGUUCAUAUCGACGGCGGUGUUUGGCACCUCGAUGUCGGCUCAUCACAUCCUGGGGCUGAAGUAGGUCCCAAGGGUAUGGCUGUUCGCCAUUUAAAGUGGUACGCGAGCUGGGUUUAGAACGUCGUGAGACAGUUCGGUCCCUAUCUGCCGUGGGCGCUGGAGAACUGAGGGGGGCUGCUCCUAGUACGAGAGGACCGGAGUGGACGCAUCACUGGUGUUCGGGUUGUCAUGCCAAUGGCACUGCCCGGUAGCUAAAUGCGGAAGAGAUAAGUGCUGAAAGCAUCUAAGCACGAAACUUGCCCCGAG
rnacentral:rRNA from 1 species